GGAGAGGGGCUCUUCAUCAGGGACUGUAGCAAUAGGACAAGGGGUGAUGGGUUCAAACUGAAACAGGGGAAGUUCAGGUUAGAUCUAAGGAAGAAGUUCUUCCCUGUGAGGGUGCUGAGGCGCUGGCACAGGGUGCCCAGAGAAGCUGUGGCUGCCCCAUCCCUGGCAGUGUUCAAGGCCAGGCUGGACACAGGGGCUUGGAGCAACCUGGUCUGGUGUGAGGUGUCCCUGCCCGUGGAAGGGUGUUGGAACUGGAUGAGCUUUAACAUCCCUUCCAACGUAAACCCUUCUUUGUUUCUAUGAUUAAUGAAAAGGAUGCAUCAAAUUAGCUACCUAGAUAUGCUCACCUGUACGGGGGAAAAAGGUGUUCGCUUUUUUUGUGUGACUGCAAAAGCAUGGGUUUGUAUCAGAGAGCCCAAAAUCACACAAAAGCUGGGGGCCUAAGCUAGCAGGCUCAUGAACUGGUUUUUUGAAGUGAACUAGAGGUUAGGAAUUCACACUGGUUCUUCGGACAGAUCUCUUGACUGUACCUUAUACAAGGUAUCUCACUCAUUUAAAUCAGUCUCAGUCACAGCUUUUACUAAGCCUGGUUGUAUAUCUCUGUAAAUAAUGCUAAAUUACUGAGGUCUGUGAUAGAGAAUCCUUACAAGUGGUAUGGGAAAGUCUUACACAUUUAGAAUAGACUCUGAUAGUUCAAGGUAUAUUUUCCUUUGUGUAUGGCUGAGUACCAAUCUCUUGGAUCUUUCUCAUAAUAGCUUUGAUUACUAGGUGUUGGUAUCUGAGUGACUUAAGAGUUUGAUAUUUCAGCAAGCUCUCUCUUAAUCAACUGCUGCUUUAUAUGCUAUUUGUACUAAAAAGCUAAUCCAAUGACCUAUCAUUGAUCAGAAAAACCCAUGUGUUUAUGAUACCUUAAAAAUAAAGCACUGCACAUGGAGUUUUAACCAGGCUACAUCAAAUACGGCUGAAUCAACACAGGUUUAGCUUUUUAGUGCAGUGAUUUUGCUUGCCAUUUUUCUAGCCUACAUAAGAGAAUAACUUUAAAAUCUCAAAGGAACACAGCCGCAAUGGCUGCAAAACCACAACAGCAUCAGAGGUGUGAAAAUGAUGUCUGAACAGGGCUGACCCAGAUGUUUUCAGUGAUAAACACAUGAUAUAGACAUUUAAAUUAUUGAAACAUACGAGUAAGUAAAAAUAUUCACUGUUCUACAGACUACAGCAUCUCUUUUCUGUUUUAGAAGCAGGCUUUUUCUGCCCUUUAGGAGUUUUACUGAGAUAAAAAGCUUCCAUAAUUAGUAAGACUGGUGGACAAAUAGGAUUGGGGUUCCCCUUAAAGCUCAGAUGCUACAAAGCACUUGAACAUGUAGAAAAGAUGAAAUGAAAGGGGAAUACUCGUGUUCUUAAGAUCACAGUAUUAAUUUAGGACAAAUUGUCCUUCCAAGCAUUUCCUGUAUUCCCCCUAAUAUAUGUGGGUUUGGACAACUGUGUAGACAGGAAAUUAAAACUGAGGAUUUUGAUUUCCAUCAGAGCAAUUUCUGUUUCUCUGCUCCUCUAGAUAACCUCAUAAAUAUUAUUUUUCAAAGAAGCAACUGUUUUAAGCAGCCCCAAAGAGGUUUUACAUUGCCAUGUGCUUGUGAAAGCAGGAAGUAAAAUAGGGAAAUCUCUGCUUAGCAAACCACUUGGUUGAAGUUAUUCAGUUUUGUCAUAUUAAGCCCCACUUUUGGACUACAUCCCCAUGGGAACUGGAACAGAAGUAUGCUGCAACUUCUGAUAUACAAGAUCUUCAGCUGCAUGUAAGACCCUGCACAUCUGUUACUUUCUGGACUUUGCAUAUGCCUUUAAAACACACAUCAGUAUAAGCAGAAACUGGGUACUUUCAGCAUCAUUUGGAUGUUUCCAAGUGACAAGCAGCUUCCAGAGGGAAGAUGUGGAACUGAAGAGAUUGGUGGCCCAGUGCCUCAGCAGCUUAUCAAGACUUGCUAUCCCAUCACUGAGAAGGGACCACACUUCAGCAAAUGAGAAUAAACCAGAUUUCAGCUACUGUAGUGAGCUGUGCUCCACAUUCAAGGAGACAAUAGAGAACACAGUGCCUGGUAGCUCUGCUGGUACGUUCAAUUAUAGACUGCCAAUAGAUUGUAAUAAUGUUUUGUAUUAUACAAGCCAUUAAAGUUGGUUAACUUUCUUGUGUUAGACUUCUUGAUCUCCCCCCGUUAAUUGAACAUAAAUUCCCUAUCUAAUGAAGACAAAUUCCUCUUCAUAACAGGUUGCUGAAAGAGUAGGCAGGAUGAAGUCAGGGGUUUACAAGUGGACUAAGAACCAGCAUGAUCAGAUAACACAGGACCACCAAGAUGACUCCAGUGCUCUUAACUGCUUGCCACUAAUAAUCUGAUGCUAAAUAUGCUAGUUUGGUCAUC